CCUACGGGCGGCAGCAGUGGGGGAUAUUGCACAAUGGGGGAAACCCUGAUGCAGCGACGCCGCGUGGGCGAAGAAGUAUUUCGGUAUGUAAAGCCCUAUCAGCAGGGAAGAAGAAAUGACGGUACCUGAGUAAGAAGCACCGGCUAAAUACGUGCCAGCAGCCGCUGUAAUACGUAUGCUGCAAGCGUUAUCCGGAUUUACUGGGUGUAAAGGGAGCGCAGGCGGGACGGCAAGCCGCAUGUGAAAGCCCGCGGUCCAACCGCGGGACUGCAUUGGGAACUACCGGGCUGGUGUGCCGGAGAGGUAGGCGGAAUGACUAGUGUAGCGGUGAAAUGCGUAGAUAUUAGGAGGAACACCAGUGGCGAAGGCGGCCUACGGGACGGUGACUGACGCUGAGGCUCGAAAGCGUGGGGAGCAAACAGGAUUAGAUACCCUUGUAGUC
rnacentral:rRNA from 1 species